UCCGUAGGCGGGCGUCUAAGUCAGUGGUGAAAUCUUACAGCUCAACUGUAAAAUUGCCAUUGAUACUGGAUGUCUUGAAUUAGUGUGAAGUGGUUAGAAUGUGUAGUGUAGCGGUGAAAUGCAGAGAUAUUACACAGAAUACCAAUUGCGAAGGCAGAUCACUAACACUAUAUUGACGCUGAGGGACGAAAGCGUGGGGAGCGAACAGGAUUAGAUACCCUGGUAGUCC
rnacentral:rRNA from 1 species